rnacentral:rRNA from 1 species
GCAGUCGAGCGGAACGAUGGAGCUUGCUCCAGGCGUCGAGCGGCGGACGGGUGAGUAAUGCAUAGGAAUCUGCCCGGUAGUGGGGGAUAACCUGGGGAAACCCAGGCUAAUACCGCAUACGUCCUACGGGAGAAAGCAGGGGAUCCGUGUUCUUCGGAAUGGGGACCUUGCGCUAUCGGAUGAGCCUAUGUCGGAUUAGCUUGUUGGUGAGGUAAUGGCUCACCAAGGCGACGAUCCGUAGCUGGUCUGAGAGGAUGAUCAGCCACAUCGGGACUGAGACACGGCCCGAACUCCUACGGGAGGCAGCAGUGGGGAAUAUUGGACAAUGGGCGAAAGCCUGAUCCAGCCAUGCCGCGUGUGUGAAGAAGGCUUUCGGGUUGUAAAGCACUUUCAGUGAGGAAGAACGCCUCGGGGCCAAUACCCCCGAGGAAAGACAUCACUCACAGAAGAAGCACCGGCUAACUCCGUGCCAGCAGCCGCGGUAAUACGGAGGGUGCAAGCGUUAAUCGGAAUUACUGGGCGUAAAGCGCGCGUAGGUGGCUUGAUAAGCCGGUUGUGAAAGCCCCGGGCUCAACCUGGGAACGGCAUCCGGAACUGUCAGGCUAGAGUGCAGGAGAGGAAGGUAGAAUUCCCGGUGUAGCGGUGAAAUGCGUAGAGAUCGGGAGGAAUACCAGUGGCGAAGGCGGCCUUCUGGACUGACACUGAC